rnacentral:lncRNA from 1 species
UAAAGCCGUCACCCAUGAGGCCAUGACAUAUACAACUCCAACCGACUCCACUUAUUAUUCAAACAAACCAUCAGAAAAGACUGCACUCACCACUUACAACAACAACAAUUGAACCUGGGCUGAAAAUGAAAUGCAGUCACAUUUCAAGCUCAAUAUUAAGUAAACAAAAAACUUCCAAUUUCAGAUUUAUACACUGCAACUACUAUAUUUACAAAUCAAGCUCCCCCUAACAUGCAUAAAACUACUGGUUUUUCUCAUAUUUCCACAACCAAAAUAUAGCUCAUCUCUUUCAUGAGAUGGCUUCUGCCGUGUCGAGAGCUCAUUUAUAUCUCAGAUAGUCAUUGCAGCCAAGACAGAGCUUAUCUUUUCAUUUCUUCAACAGCCGCACAGCAAGCAGAGUAUUAACUAACUGAACCUUAAAAAAGGAUCGCAUCGAACCUGAGAUAGUAUGACAUAUGAGAAUCAUUUUGCAUUUCCUUAGAUUGCGUCUGCAUUCAGAUGGCAUCCGAAACUGCAACAGUUAUAGAAGGUUAACAUUAAAAACUAGCAAGUGUAUACAGUGCAACUGUGGGGCUAUGUACUAGAUGAAGAUGAUCCACCUCGUUCUCACAUUUCUUCAGCCUGCAAAAGGAUGUUCGCAUUGAGCUACUCACCAAACAUGAAGAAGCAGGCACACUUGUCGCCUAUGUGACCUUAUUGUCAAAGAAACUUCUUUGACGUAAGGCGCAAGACAAAAUUAUACACAUGCAUUUUAGUUAUGCCUAAAGCCGAACCAUGUAAUGACUACGUGAAUAAGGGCAAGAACCUGCAUUGUCAGAACAUAUAAAGAGAAGAACUCAUAGCAACAACAACUAUAUCCCCAUCCCCUUUUGUGGGGUCGGCUACAUGAAUCACGUUACGCAGUUGUGAUCGGUAAAUACAAGAUUGUCCAAGUCUAAUGAAAAAAUAACAUUUAAUGCUAAAUAGAAAUUCAAUGAACAAAAAACAUGGAAAAUAGGUUAGUCUUGACAAGUGAACGUAAGCAUGACAACAACUUCCACGUGUACACGAGUGAUGCAAAAAUCAGACAUAACAUAACCACAGUUUCCUUGUCGAGAACUUCAAGAAAUCGUAAGAAAGUACAACAACAUCGAGGUAUCAUGAUAUAAAAUGAAAAUAAUGAAAAUAUCCAAAGUUCGAGCAGAAGAGCUUAUCCAUUCUUUCAUGGUAGGACGAAGCUUAAAAGAUCCAUGAACAAUGUAACGAGCAAAUUGGUUGUUCAUAUAGGGCAGGGCAUUGAAAACCAUUUAAUAUAUUUCCAUAUCUACGUAACUUUGUAUCAAGGUAUCACCAAAGAUAAGCAUUUAAUGCCCAAUAGAAAUUCAAUGAACAAAAACAUGGAAAAUAGGUUAGUACUCCUUGACAAGUGAACGUAAGCAUGACAACAGCUUCCCCGUGUACACCAGUGAUGCUAAAUCACACGUAACCACAGUGUCCAUGUCGACAACUUCAAAGAAAUCAUAAGAAAGAACAACAACAUCGAGGUAUCAUGAUGUGAAAUGAAAAUAAUGAAAUUAUCCAAGGUUCGAGCAAAAGAGCUUAUCCAAGCUUUCAUGGUAGGACGAAGCUUAAAAGAUCCAUAUAUAAUGUAAUGAAUUGUUAAUAUAGGGCAUUGCAUGGAAAACCAUUUAAUAUUUUCCCAUAUCUACGUAUCCUUUUAUCAAGGUAUCGCUGAACCUGUCAUGAGAAGAUCUAUCUCCUUAUCCUGUCAUUAAUAUGCGGAGAAGAAUAGUAAGAGUAAUCUUUAUUCAUCAAAAUUUAAAUCAUUAUUUACCGAUCAUGACUCAAGACUCUACUUCCCGAGCCUCGAAUUCAGUAGAAAUGCAGCAGAAUAGCAAUCAAUUAUUAUCUAACUACACAGGGGGGGAAUCACUCGCAUAGACAUAUAAAGAGAAAAACAAAUCUAUACCCAAAAAUCUAAAUCAAUUUCAAGAAACAGAAGGAAACACAGAUAAUCGUGUGGAGAACAAACCAUUGAGCAAACUUGUAGUAGAAAUUCAGCUAGUGAUAAUCAGAAAGAAUUAUAGGCAUCUUAAUCUUACUCCUUAAACUAAAAUUUCACGAAUUUGAGCACUAAAUGGAACUAUGAACAAUUGCAGUAAUCUCAUCUCAUACUACUAAUAAUUUUAACAUCCACGUAGCAGCAAAAAAAUAAGGUGAAAUGCGACAACACUCAACCACCACAAAACAAAUCACAACAAAGCACGAAAUAAAGAAAGGAAUCUAGGGCUUCCGGGAAAAAAAUUGGAUUUUCGGAAACCCUAAAAUUUGAGAAAAAGUUAACAAUUCUAAUAAUAUGAGCACCAAAUAAAAUCAGAACAAAAUUGCAAUAAUCUCAGAGCUACCGCCAGAAAAAUGCUCUAAUAAAUUAAGGAAAUUAUGUUCUAACAUCAUGUAGCAGCACAAAAAAAGGUGAAAAGCAACAAGAACAUUCUCGAAUCUCACUAGACUCGACCACAAUAAACAAGAGAUUCGAUAUUUUAACUUGUUAAAGCAUGAAAUGAGGAAAAUAAAUUAAUUUCAGCUAGGGCUUCCGAAACGAUUCGAUUUUUCAACUAGCUAAGAAGGGGUAAAAAAUCGAAAGCAAAUUUUCAGAAACCCUAAUUUGGGAAAGUGCCAAAUCGGGAAAGAAUCUCUACAGGAAGCAAACUCAGUGAGUCGGUCGCGAGUCACCGAUCAGAGAUCUGUUCCAUUCUCAAACUCAGACGCGGAGGCAUCCAAUCACCGCCUCUUACCAUUUCACGCCAUCAAAGGAGAAUAACAAGCCUGACAAAUAAGACUUCUUUCUUCCUUGGGAAAGAGAAAGGGGGGCAAAAGAGAAAGAAAGAGAGUAGUGGACUAUUUUCACUACUCACUAGUCCCUUUUGUGUGCCCCUUUCCACAUUAAGGAAGACUGGUUUGAGACGAUCGCCAUGAAAGACGUAUUUGUCAAGCUUGAAAUUCUCCCUCGAUUCAGUCUGAAAAAAGUAUUAGGCGAAGAUAUGAACCUACUCCGCAUCUAAAUAGGAGAAGGGACCAGAUCUGAUCGUCAUGAAAAUUCAAGAUUAUUGUAAUAUUUUGAUGGAAUUGAGAGAUGAAUGGAAUUAAAUAAGAAAAAUUGAGCUAAAAAAAGAUGACAUAAAAGGAGUUGGAUUUAUCUAUUCUUGUGACUUUAGGGCUCUAUAGAAGUUGUUGAAGAAAGCAAAU